UACGAAGGGGGCUAGCGUUGUUCGGAUUUACUGGGCGUAAAGCGCACGUAGGCGGAUCGUUAAGUCGGGGGUGAAAUCCCGGGGCUCAACCCCGGAACUGCCUUCGAUACUGGGUAUCUUGAGUUCGGGAGAGGUGAGUGGAACUGCGAGUGUAGAGGUGAAAUUCGUAGAUAUUCGCAAGAACACCAGUGGCGAAGGCGGCUCACUGGCCCGAUACUGACGCUGAGGCACGAAAGCGUGGG
rnacentral:rRNA from 1 species